AUUGAACGCUGGCGGCAUGCCUUACACAUGCAAGUCGAACGGCAGCACGGGAGCAAUCCUGGUGGCGAGUGGCGAACGGGUGAGUAAUAUAUCGGAACGUGCCCAGUCGUGGGGGAUAACGUAGCGAAAGCUACGCUAAUACCGCAUACGAUCUAUGGAUGAAAGCGGGGGAUCGCAAGAUCUCGCGCGAUUGGAGCGGCCGAUAUCAGAUUAGGUAGUUGGUGAGGUAAAGGCCUACCAAGCCGACGAUCCUUAGCUGGUCUGAGAGGAUGAUCAGCCACACUGGGACUGAGACACGGCCCAGACUCCUACGGGAGGCAGCAGUGGGGAAUAUUGGACAAUGGGCGAAAGCCUGAUCCAGCAAUGCCGCGUGAGUGAUGAAGGCCUC
rnacentral:rRNA from 1 species